UCAUGCACUGUGGGAAAUGGCAUUAUUUGAAAAUUAAAGAGCUGGAGCUCUUUAAACCUUCCCAAGACAUCAGGCCUAUGGAUAGGAGACAAGGAAAUAUUCCAGUGCCAACAAGAAUGUGCACACAACACAAGAAGAAGACGAAAAAAGAAGCUUGUUAACUAUACAAAACUACAAAGAAAAAAACUCUCAUUAUUUCAACAGAUUGAAGCCCUUAUGUCAACCGAGGGUGCAAAAACUUUUUCAGCAUUUUGUAACUUUUUUAAAAAAGAUUAGCCUAUUUUCCUUUCCAUAAGCCUAAGAAUAUAUAUAUUUUUAAUGCUGUGCUGAUUUGUAUUUUUUUCUUAAGUCUUGUGAAUUAUCUGGGGUUUUGAUGAAAGAUUCCUAGAAAUCUCAGACAUGUUUGUUAUGAGAUUUUAGGUUUUUUGUAGAAAGUGGUAGCUUAAAUAUUCAACGACUUCUAUUCACCCGAAUGUUCUUUGUACUCUGGAAGUAAACAGAGAGCAACAACAACAGACUAAGAAAUAAACUGCUAAAAAUAUAAUUAAAAGCCUUUUAG
rnacentral:lncRNA from 1 species